GACGAACCCUGGCGGCGUGCUUAACACAUGCAAGUCGAACGGAAAGGCCCUGCUUUUGUGGGGUGCUCGAGUGGCGAACGGGUGAGUAACACGUGAGUAACCUGCCCUUGACUUUGGGAUAACUUCAGGAAACUGGGGCUAAUACCGGAUAGGAGCUCCUGCUGCAUGGUGGGGGUUGGAAAGUUUCGGCGGUUGGGGAUGGACUCGCGGCUUAUCAGCUUGUUGGUGGGGUAGUGGCUUACCAAGGCUUUGACGGGUAGCCGGCCUGAGAGGGUGACCGGCCACAUUGGGACUGAGAUACGGCCCAGACUCCUACGGGAGGCAGCAGUGGGGAAUAUUGCACAAUGGGCGGAAGCCUGAUGCAGCAACGCCGCGUGCGGGAUGACGGCCUUCGGGUUGUAAACCGCUUUCGCCUGUGACGAAGCGUGAGUGACGGUAAUGGGUAAAGAAGCACCGGCUAACUACGUGCCAGCAGCCGCGGUGAUACGUAGGGUGCGAGCGUUGUCCGGAUUUAUUGGGCGUAAAGGGCUCGUAGGUGGUUGAUCGCGUCGGAAGUGUAAUCUUGGGGCUUAACCCUGAGCGUGCUUUCGAUACGGGUUGACUUGAGGAAGGUAGGGGAGAAUGGAAUUCCUGGUGGAGCGGUGGAAUGCGCGGAUAUCAGGAGGAACACCAGUGGCGAAGGCGGUUCUCUGGGCCUUUCCUGACGCUGAGGAGCGAAAGCGUGGGGAGCGAACAGGCUUAGAUACCCUGGUAGUCCACGCUGUAAACGGUGGGUACUAGGUGUGGGGUCCAUUCCACGGGUUCCGUGCCGUAGCUAACGCUUUAAGUACCCCGCCUGGGGAGUACGGCCGCAAGGCUAAAACCCAAAGGAAUUGACGGGGCCCCGCACAAGCGGCGGAGCAUGCGGAUUAAUUCGAUGCAACGCGUAGAACCUUACCUGGGUUUGACAUGGAUCGGGAGUGCUCAGAGAUGGGUGUGCCUCUUUUGGGGUCGGUUCACAGGUGGUGCAUGGCUGUCGUCAGCUCGUGUCGUGAGAUGUUGGGUUAAGUCCCGCAACGAGCGCAACCCUUGUUCACUGUUGCCAGCACGUUAUGGUGGGGACUCAGUGGAGACCGCCGGGGUCAACUCGGAGGAAGGUGGGGAUGACGUCAAGUCAUCAUGCCCCCUAUGUCCAGGGCUUCACGCAUGCUACAAUGGCUGGUACAGAGAGUGGCGAGCCUGUGAGGGUGAGCGAAUCUCGGAAAGCCGGUCUCAGUUCGGAUUGGGGUCUGCAACUCGACCUCAUGAAGUCGGAGUCGCUAGUAAUCGCAGAUCAGCAACGCUGCGGUGAAUACGUUCCCGGG
rnacentral:rRNA from 1 species